rnacentral:rRNA from 1 species
UACGUAGGGUGCGAGCGUUGUCCGGAAUUAUUGGGCGUAAAGAGCUCGUAGGCGGUUUGUCACGUCGGAUGUGAAACCCCGGGGCUUAACUCCGGGCCUGCAUUCGAUACGGGCUGACUAGAGUUCGGCAGGGGAGACGUGGAAUUCCUGGUGUAGCGGUGAAAUGCGCAGAUAUCAGGAGGAACACCGGUGGCGAAGGCGGGUCUCUGGGCCAUAACUGACGCUGAGGAGCGAAAGCGUGGGGAGCGAACAGG